CAGGUCAUUUAUUUGGACGGCAAAGAAGGGAGUAGAGGGUUUUUACCUGUAGAAGUCGGUACCGUUUCUAACUAGGUCUUUAGGCGGCCCCACGCUGCGGCUCAGUGGCGAUCAAGGUUAGGGUGGGCGCCGCGGCUGACGGGAGGGAGAGGGGUGAGCGGCAAGGGGGUUUUACUUUGGGAGCUAGGUUGGUGACCAGUAUGUAAAACAAGGGUCAGGAAGUUAAAGAGUCGCUGUUUAGAAUGUUUCGUUGGUGAUACCCUAUGUAGUCUAGACGUUACUCAACUACAUACACACCACAUGUCUACCCACCAUCUCCUCAGUAGUUCCUCUGAUAAACUAGACUUAGCCAUGUGGACACAAUCGAAUAAAACAAACAAAAACGGACUCGAUUUAACAAACUUAAACAUCCUACAUUGGACAUUAUACACCAGCGAUAUUAUGGACAUCUCGUCUGGUGUAAGCAAUGGUAAAUCCGUAUAUUACACCCUUAGUUCUUGGUUGGCGAGGUACGAAUUACUGUCGUGUGUCGAUAACUGUCUUAACUAGAACCCUAUAAUGCUUUUAUUAUUAGUUUAGAUCGGGAACGAACCAGCCGAUAUGCUGGACUUAGUAGUAAUUACUUUAGUAGGUUCAUAUAAAUGUAUCCUUUUGCUGUUAGAACGGUAAAGCACGAGUUAGUACGGGUUCCUUCUCUACAACUACCUAGAAAAUAAACCAUAACUGUCUACGUGUAAGUUAAUAUAAUACGAGUACAGUCUCGAUACUCUGUCUAAUCCCGUACUCAGCACUCUAGGUUUGACACUUAUGAAUCAUUUGACUUCCAUGUCUAAGUACUAAGUAGAUCAAAAAAUUAUGAUUAAUACGUUACGUAUCUGGUGUCUAAAAAAAUCACGAUCUAGUUUAACCGUUUGUAUCAGUACACACAGGCGUCUUUAUGGACUAAGCAGACUUUAGGUAUACUAAAGGAAAACUUCUUCCAAUGUAUCUCAUUUUAUCUUUAUAAGAUUCCAGGGAAAUGAUUUCCUAGAGGAACAUGUGUUAUAAAAAACGGCUUAAUAAAAGGAACUAAGAAGUAGACUUUAAUCUUGAAAUCCAGGUAGAGAUGAACACUGAGAACUAUGACGAU
rnacentral:rRNA from 1 species